rnacentral:rRNA from 1 species
UUCGCCCUUAGAGUUUGAUCCUGGCUCAGAGCGAACGCUGGCGGCAGGCCUAACACAUGCAAGUCGAACGGACCCUUCGGGGUUAGUGGCGGACGGGUGAGUAACACGUGGGAACGUGCCUUUAGGUUCGGAAUAGCUCCCGGAAACGGGUGGUAAUGCCGAAUGUGCCCUUCGGGGGAAAGAUUUAUCGCCUUUAGAGCGGCCCGCGUCUGAUUAGCUAGUUGGUGAGGUAACGGCUCACCAAGGCGACGAUCAGUAGCUGGUCUGAGAGGAUGACCAGCCACACUGGGACUGAGACACGGCCCAGACUCCUACGGGAGGCAGCAGUGGGGAAUCUUGCGCAAUGGGCGAAAGCCUGACGCAGCCAUGCCGCGUGAAUGAUGAAGGUCUUAGGAUUGUAAAAUUCUUUCACCGGGGACGAUAAUGACGGUACCCGGAGAAGAAGCCCCGGCUAACUUCGUGCCAGCAGCCGCGGUAAUACGAAGGGGGCUAGCGUUGCUCGGAAUUACUGGGCGUAAAGGGCGCGUAGGCGGAUCGUUAAGUCAGAGGUGAAAUCCCAGGGCUCAACCCUGGAACUGCCUUUGAUACUGGCGAUCUUGAGUAUGAGAGAGGUAUGUGGAACUCCGAGUGUAGAGGUGAAAUUCGUAGAUAUUCGGAAGAACACCAGUGGCGAAGGCGACAUACUGGCUCAUUACUGACGCUGAGGCGCGAAAGCGUGGGGAGCAAACAGGAUUAGAUACCCCGGUAGUCCACGCCGUAAACGAUGAUUGCUAGUUGUCGGGCUGCAUGCAGUUCGGUGACGCAGCUAACGCAUUAA